UNGGCCUACCCAGGUGAACACCCUCAAGGCC
rnacentral:piRNA from 1 species